rnacentral:misc_RNA from 1 species
ACACCUCAACUCUCAUGGUUUGCCAUGAUGAGCUUGGACUUUGGGGGUCUUGUUGGCCACAAGCCAGCUCCUCUUAAAUGGAUCAGCUUGCCAGUGUUUGGUGGAGUCACGGGUGUGAUAACUAUCUACGCUCGUGGUUUCCCAUCAGAUAACCUUCAGCGAUGGAGGUUCGCUGGGGCUUAUAAAUGUCUCUCCUCAGUGAGGGCAGAUUUUGACC